AGUCUGAGACCUGAUGCCGAGCCGAUUGUGGUGAAGUGGAUGAUCCUAUGCUGUCGAGAAAAGCCUCUAGCGAGUUUCAUGGCGGCCCGUACCCUAAACCGACUCAGGUGGUCAGGUAGAGAAUACCGAGGCGUUCGGGUGAACUAUGGUUAAGGAACUCGGCAAAAUGCCCCCGUAACUUCGGGAGAAGGGGGGCCAUCACUGGUGAUCCGAUUUACUCGGUGAGCUGGGGGUGGCCGCAGAGACCAGCGAGAAGCGACUGUUUACUAAAAACACAGGUCCGUGCGAAGCCGUAAGGCGAUGUAUACGGACUGACGCCUGCCCGGUGCUGGAACGUUAAGGGGACCGGUUAGCUGCCUUUCG
rnacentral:rRNA from 1 species